rnacentral:misc_RNA from 1 species
AAGUCGUAACAAGGUUUCCGUAGGUGAACCUGCGGAAGGAUCAUUAACAUUAUCUACCCAAAACACUAACGGGGGUCAUAUCCCGUUUUUGUAUCCCAACCAAACAGCGAACUACUGUGCGAGGAAGUGGGUGUUGUCGGAUUAAAAACCCGGUCUCUUGCUUGCUUGCUUGCACUUUUUCAUUUUUCCUCUAAACACAUUUUAAAACCCAAUGAAAAAUUUAUGACUGAACCUGUUCUUGCCUCUCGAAAGGGAGCAAGAACAUUAAAAAAAACAAAUUAAGAAACAACUCUUAACAACGGAUAUCUUGGCUCUC